UUUGGGGGUGCCCAAUUUUUGGGCUGAGAUGAUACCCUUUGAACCUGAUCCGGGUAAUUCCGGCGUAGGAAAGAGAUGUC
rnacentral:ncRNA from 1 species